AUUGAACGCUGGCGGCAGGCCUAACACAUGCAAGUCGAACGAGUGGCGGACGGGUGAGUACUGUCUGGGAAACUGCCCGAUGGAGGGGGAUAACUACUGGAAACGGUAGCUAAUACCGCAUACCAUCGGAUGUGCCCAGAUGGGUUUAGCUCGUAGGUGGGGUAACGGCUCACCUAGGCGACGAUCCCUAGCUGGUCUGAGAGGAUGACCAGCAACACUGGAACUGAGAAACGGCCCAGACUCCUACGGGAGGCAGCAGUGGGGAAGAUUGCACAAUGGGCGCAAGCCUGAUGCAGCCAUGCCGCGUGUAGGAUGAAGGCCUUCGGGGUGUAAAGUACUUUCAGCGAGGAGGCGUUACUCGCAGAAGAAGCACCGGCUAACUCCGUGCCAGCAGGCGCGGUAAUUC
rnacentral:rRNA from 1 species